AUACGGAGGAUCCAAGCGUUAUCCGGAUUUAUUGGGUUUAAAGGGUGCGUAGGCGGCCUAUUAAGUCAGGGGUGAAAGACGGUAGCUCAACUAUCGCAGUGCCCUUGAUACUGAUGGGCUUGAAUGAACUAGAGGUAGGCGGAAUGUGACAAGUAGCGGUGAAAUGCAUAGAUAUGUCACAGAACACCGAUUGCGAAGGCAGCUUACUAUGGUUUUAUUGACGCUGAGGCACGAAAGCGUGGGGAUC
rnacentral:rRNA from 1 species